rnacentral:lncRNA from 10 species
CCUAGCCAUAACCCUGGGAUCAAGGCAGGCUCUGCUGAGCUGGGACUUGGGGCCCCUCCAUGAGCCAGGCCCUGAACGCCAGUUCUUGUGCCCGUGUUAUCUGCUUGGUAUGUUGGCAGCCUGCGCACCUGUCAUCCCACUUCACAGAGGACACGGGACGGGUGAUUGCCCAAAGCCGCAGAGCAGUUCAUGCAAAAGUAGCUCGUUGUGCAGUGUGUGCCAGGCCCCACCCACAAAUGGGGCUUGUGGGGUCCUCGAGUGGCAGGGACUGAGUGUGGGAAUGUGAGCUUUAGGCCAGAGAAGCCACAAAAGGGCCAGCUGCGGGCUGUCCAGCGGCUGUGCUACUUCUACAGCACCGUCAUGCCCAGCGAGGCCCAGUGUGUCAUCUACCAUGAGCUCCAGCUCUCCCUGUCCCGCAAGGUGGCUGACAAGGUGCUGGAGGGGCAGCUCCUGGAGACCAUCAGUCAGCUCUCCCUGUCCCUGGGUACCGAGGGGCCUACAAAUCCACUCUGGACUACACUAAAUGAUGUCUGGGGAUUUUCAUUGACCUUCAGAAGAAAGAGAAGGAGGCACAUGGCUGGCUGCAAGCAGGGAAGAUCUAUUACAGCCUGUAGCAGAGCGAGCUGGUAGACCUGUACAUCCAGGUGAGUGGCAAGGGAUGCAGGAGGACCCUUGUGCUGUUCACUCUCUGUCCAUCCACCCAUCCAUUCAUCCUUCCAUCAUCUAUUUACCUGUUCGUCCUUCCAUCCAUC